rnacentral:rRNA from 1 species
GAUGAACGCUGGCGGCGUGCCUAAUACAUGCAAGUCGAGCGAACGGACGAGAAGCUUGCUUCUCUGAUGUUAGCGGCGGACGGGUGAGUAACACGUGGAUAACCUACCUAUAAGACUGGGAUAACUUCGGGAAACCGGAGCUAAUACCGGAUAAUAUUUUGAACCGCAUGGUUCAAUAGUGAAAGACGGUCUUGCUGUCACUUAUAGAUGGAUCCGCGCUGCAUUAGCUAGUUGGUAAGGUAACGGCUUACCAAGGCAACGAUGCAUAGCCGACCUGAGAGGGUGGUCGGCCACACUGGAACUGAGACACGGUCCAGACUCCUACGGGAGGCAGCAGUAGGGAAUCUUCCGCAAUGGGCGAAAGCCUGACGGAGCAACGCCGCGUGAGUGAUGAAGGUCUUCGGAUCGUAAAACUCUGUUAUUAGGGAAGAACAAAUGUGUAAGUAACUGUGCACAUCUUGACGGUACCUAAUCAGAAAGCCACGGCUAACUACGUG